rnacentral:rRNA from 1 species
CUACGGGCCGCUGCAGUGAGGAAUUUUGCGCAAUGGGGGGAACCCUGACGCAGCAACGCCGCGUGAGUGAUGAAGGCUUUCGGGUCGUAAAGCUCUGUCAAGUGGGAAGAACCUAUGCAGUGUUAAUAUCACUGUAUACUGACGGUACCACUGAAGGAAGCACCGGCUAACUCCGUGCCAGCAGCCGCGGUAAUACGGGGGGUGCAAGCGUUAUUCGGAAUCAUUGGGCGUAAAGGGCACGUAGGCGGCUUGGUAAGUCAGAUGUGAAAGCCCGGGGCUUAACCCCGGAAGUGCAUUUGAUACUGUCAGGCUUGAGUAUGGGAGAGGGAAGUGGAAUUCCUGGUGUAGAGGUGAAAUUCGUAGAUAUCAGGAGGAACACCGGUGGCGAAGGCGACUUCCUGGACCAAUACUGACGCUGAGGUGCGAAGGCGUGGGUAGCAAACAGGAUUAGAUACCCCGGUAGUC